rnacentral:rRNA from 1 species
UACGGAGGGUGCAAGCGUUAAUCGGAAUUACUGGGCGUAAAGCGCACGCAGGUGGCUGAGAAAGUCGAUUGUGAAAGCCCUGGGCUUAACCUGGGAAUUGCAGUCGAAACUACUCGGCUAGAGUAUGGGAGAGGACAGUGGAAUUCCCGGUGUAGCGGUGAAAUGCGUAGAUAUCGGGAGGAACAUCAGUGGCGAAGGCGGCCCUCUGGACCAGUACUGACGCUGAGGCACGAAAGCGUGGGGAGCAAACAGG